UACAGAGGUCUCAAGCGUUGUUCGGAAUUACUGGGCGUAAAGCGCACGUAGGCGGAUUUGUAAGUCAGGGGUGAAAUCCCGGGGCUCAACCUCGGAACUGCCUUUGAUACUGCAAAUCUCGAGUCCGGAAGAGGUGAGUGGAAUUCCUAGUGUAGAGGUGAAAUUCGUAGAUAUUAGGAAGAACACCAGUGGCGAAGGCGGCUUCCUGGCCUGUUCUUGACGCUGAGGCGCGAAAGCUAGGGGAGCAAACGGG
rnacentral:rRNA from 1 species